rnacentral:tRNA from 1 species
AUUCUUUUAGUAUUACUCAGUACAACUGACUUCCAAUCAGUUAGAUUCGGCACUAACCCGAAAAAGAAUA